CAGAAACAAUAAUAUUAAUGUUUUAACUCAGGAAAAGUUCAGAAAUCAAUAUUUGGUGGAAUAACCAGGAGGUUUUCAAUGGAGUUCAUUGCAGUGGGCUCUUAGCUUUUUCCAGACCUGUAUAUCUGGUGUUUUGCCAAA